rnacentral:rRNA from 1 species
CACGUAGGGCGCGAGCGUUGUCCGGAAUUAUUGGGCGUAAAGAGCUCGUAGGCGGCCUGUUGCGUCCGCUGUGAAAGCCCCGGGGCUUAACCCCGGGUCGGCAGUGGAUACGGGCAGGCUAGAGGUAGGUAGGGGAGAAUGGAAUUCCCGGUGUAGCGGUGAAUGCGCAGAUAUCGGGAGGAACACCGGUGGCGAAGGCGGUUCUCUGGGCCUUACCUGACGCUGAGGAGCGAAAGCGUGGGGAGCGAACAGG